UAUAGAGUCAUAAUAGGUUUUACUAUUUUAAGAAAAUACGGAAAUACGGUUCGUAGAAGUGAGGUUAGAAAUCAAAUUUAAACUUUCCGCGUAUAUUUGUCUGUUUCAACGUUAUAAAAGUAUAUAUAUAUAUAUAUACUAUACACGCAUAAUACGUAUUCUUGAAGUUAUAGUUGAGAAGUAAACUUUGCGAAAGAUACACGGACAUACAUUUUCGGUUUUCUUGCCAACUAUUAUCGAUGUUAGAAAGAAGAAGAAGAAGAAUGAGAAUAAGAAUAGACGAAGAAUAUCGAAAACGUGCCAGUACUACUAUGGUAUAGUAAUACGUGUCUCUUUUAUAGACCAUUAAGUCUCUUUCUUGGAAGUUUUCAAUGUAAACCAACGCGAACCAUCUUUCUACCUAGUAGUGUCCGUCUAAUAUAAAUAAAUCAUUUGGUUGGUUGGUGGGUUGAGUUUGCACGCUAAGCCGGCUUGAGCUUUGGUUCACGCUCAUUAAUAUUAAACGAUGUGCUCUAAUUGGCCAAGCAAUUAUGCGGUGUUAAUUAAACAUUAGGAGUGGGCCGGUCCACCAGCCGGAUAUAAUGCAAAACAUGGUGGAUACGAGCCAUCUAUCGAAUGCUUUCUAAAAUUUACUUCCAUCCCUAUUUCCCUACGUUAUCUACUUCCUCGAGAUUAUCAUGAGUUAACAAUUAUUCGAUUAAAAAUGAAAUAAUGACAAUAAUUUCUGCAUUUUUUAUUUUUAAAUUAAUACAUUUCUAAAAUCAUAUUGCAAAAGUUAUUUUAGAUCCAUGAGUUUUGUAUACUUUUAUAUCUUUAUACGAAUUACAAGUGUUUUGAUUAUAUUCAAUAUCUUUCUCUAUUUUCUUGUUAUUUAUUCGUUAACGAAAAGGAAUGUAAUAGGGAAAUAAAUGUUGCUCUCAUAAUUUAUUAAUUAGUUAUUUAUGAUACAGGACGACGAAAUGAAAUGUCUUCGUGGGUUUUUUUUUUUUAUUUU